rnacentral:rRNA from 1 species
CCUACGGGAGGCAGCAGUGGGGAAUUUUGCGCAAUGGGGGCAACCCUGACGCAGCAACGCCGCGUGAGUGAUGAAGGCCUUCGGGUCGUAAAGCUCUGUCAGAGGGGAAGAAAUGCAGGUGGUGAACAACCAUUCUGUUUGACGGUACCCUCAAAGGAAGCACCGGCUAACUCCGUGCCAGCAGCCGCGGUAAUACGGAGGGUGCGAGCGUUGUUCGGAAUUAUUGGGCGUAAAGCGCGUGUAGGCGGUUUGUUAAGUCUGAGGUGAAAGCCCCGGGCUCAACCUGGGAAGUGCAUUGGAUACUGGCAGACUUGAGUACGGGAGAGGAGAGUGGAAUUCCCGGUGUAGGGGUGAAAUGCGUAGAUAUCGGGAGGAACACCAGUGGCGAAGGCGGCUUUCUAGACCACUCCUGACGCUGAGGCGCGAAAGCGUGGGGAGCGAACGGGAUUAGAUACCCCUGUAGU